GCGUAAAUGGUCUAGUGGUAGAAUGGCCCCCUGCCACGGGGUCGGCCCGGGUUCGAUUCCCGGUUUACGCA